rnacentral:rRNA from 1 species
CACGUAGGGCGCAAGCGUUGUCCGGAUUUACUGGGCGUAAAGGGCGCGUAGGCGGUUAUGUAAGUGAGAUGUGAAAUCCCUGGGCUUAACCUAGGAACUGCAUCUCAUACUGCGUAGCUAGAGUAUUGUAGAGGGUAGUGGAAUUUCCGGUGUAGCGGUGAAAUGCGUAGAGAUCGGAAGGAACACCAGUGGCGAAGGCGGCUACCUGGACAAAUACUGACGCUGAUGCGCGAAAGCGUGGGGAUCAAACAGG